rnacentral:rRNA from 1 species
UGGGGAGUACGGUCGCAAGAUUAAAACUCAAAGGAAUUGACGGGGACCCGCACAAGCGGUGGAUGAUGUGGAUUAAUUCGAUGCAACGCGAAAAACCUUACCUACCCUUGACAUGGCAGAAAUCCCUGAGAGAUUGNGGAGUGCUCGAAAGAGAAUCUGCACACAGGUGCUGCAUGGCUGUCGUCAGCUCGUGUCGUGAGAUGUUGGGUUAAGUCCCGCAACGAGCGCAACCCUUGUCAUUAGUUGCUACGAAAGGGCACUCUAAUGAGACUGCCGGUGACAAACCGGAGGAAGGUGGGGAUGACGUCAAGUCCUCAUGGCCCUUAUGGGUAGGGCUUCACACGUCAUACAAUGGUACAUACAGAGCGCCGCCAACCCGCGAGGGGGAGCUAAUCGCAGAAAGUGUAUCGUAGUCCGGAUUGUAGUCUGCAACUCGACUGCAUGAAGUUGGAAUCGCUAGUAAUCGCGGAUCAGCAUGUCGCGGUGAAUACGUUCCCGGGUCUUGUACACACCGCCCGUCACACCAUGGGAGCGGGUUUUACCAGAAGUAGGUAGCUUAACCGCAAGGAGGGCGCUUACCACGGUAGGAUUCGUGACUG